rnacentral:lncRNA from 1 species
GGCCGGAGCGUCGCGACGGGGGUUGGGAAGCGGGCAGAGAGGUGACGGAGCGCGCUCCGAUGAGAACUAUGCUGCGGGCUGAUUUUAUUUGGAAAAACCCAGCACCUCCAAGGGUGCAAUUGUUCAUUUGGCUUCUACUUCAAAGAAGAAUUCAGUGCCGGACAGUCUUGUUCAAAAAACACAUCGUCGACAACCCCUCCUGUGAGAUUUGUCACCUGAACACACCAUGUGGGGCUGCAAUCUUGGAAAGCAGGUUUGGAGUAGGCUUGGGAUUGUCUUCCCUCAAGACUCUGAUGUAUCGGCACUAUACUCCGUCUCUCCACCAACCGGUGUGCCUCUGGACCUGUUCCCAGCUUUCAUUGCGCUGGUUUGCUGGCAGAUUUGGAAAGUAAGAAAUGCAAAAACUUUCAACUCUGAGAUUCAAACACUGGAUCAAGUCCUUACCCUUUGCAUGCAUGCUGCCCUUCAGUGGAAACACAGGUUCCCACGCUUGAAGAAGCCAAUCGCCGACUCCUGGUGCUCCGUCUUCCUGAUGGCGAGGCAAGGACAGGGAUAGAUUACCUUACCUCUUUCUACCUUCUAAUGCUGUACUGAUCACGAUGUUGUGAUCAUCUAUCUCAAAAGUGUGCACAUGUAUUCUAAACUUCAGCCGGUUGGGGCUAUUUAAUAUAAUGCAGGUGGGGACCGAAU